GAUAAACGCUGGCGGCGUGCUUAACACAUGCAAGUCGAACGAAGUUUUUCCUUCGGGAGACACUUAGUGGCGGACGGGUGAGUAACGCGUGGGUAACCUGCCCUGUACAGGGGGACAACAGCUGGAAACGGCUGCUAAUACCGCAUAAGCCCUUAGCACUGCAUGGUGCAUAGGGAAAAGGAGCAAUCCGGUACAGGAUGGACCCGCGUCUGAUUAGCCAGUUGGCAGGGUAACGGCCUACCCAAGCGACGAUCAGUAGCCGAUCUGAGAGGAUGUACGGCCACAUUGGGACUGAGACACGGCCCAGACUCCUACGGGAGGCAGCAGUGGGGAAUAUUGCACAAUGGAGGAAACUCUGAUGCAGCGACGCCGCGUGAGUGAAGAAGUAUUUCGGUAUGUAAAGCUCUAUCAGCAGGGAAGAAAAUGACGGUACCUGACUAAGAAGCACCGGCUAAAUACGUG
rnacentral:rRNA from 1 species